GGGGUUGUGGCUAAGUGGUAAGUGCUUGCCUAGCAGGUGCAAGGACCUGGGUUCAAUCCUCAGCACCACA
rnacentral:tRNA from 1 species